rnacentral:tRNA from 1 species
GAGGAUAUAACUCAGUGGUAGAGUGCAUGCCUAGCGUGUCUGAGGUCCUGGGUUUAAUCCACAGUACCUCU